rnacentral:rRNA from 1 species
GGCCGCGUUCUCCUAGUGAUGGAGAGUUGAUCCUGGCGGAGGCUACUGCUAUUGGGAUUCGAUUUUGCCCUGCAAGUUGAAUGAAUUUAGAUUCAUGGCGUACGGCUCAGUAACACGUGGAUAACUUACCCUUAGGACUGGGAUAACUCUGGGAAACUGGGGAUAAUACCGGAUAUUAGGCUAUGUCUGCAAUGGUUUGCCUUUGAAAUGUUUCUUUGUAUUCGCCUAAGGAUAGAUCUGCGGCUGAUUAGGUCGUUGGUGGGGUAAUGGCCCACCAAGCCGAUGAUCGGUACGGGUUGUGAGAGCAAGGGCCCGGAGAUGGAACCUGAGACAAGGUUCCAGACCCUACGGGGUGCAGCAGGCGCGAAACCUCCGCAAUGUACGAAAGUGCGACGGGGGGAUCCCAAGUGUUAUGCUUAAAGGUAUGACUUUUCAUUAGUGUAAAAAGCUUUUAGAAUAAGAGCUGGGCAAGACCGGUGCCAGCCGCCGCGGUAACACGGCAGCUCGAGUGGUAACUUGUUUUUAUUGGCCCUAAGCGUUCCUAAGCCGUUUUAUAAGUCUUUGGUGAAAGCUUGUAGCUUACUAUAAAAAUUGCUGGAGAACCUAUGGACUGAAGCUCGGAAA